rnacentral:rRNA from 1 species
UACGGAGGGGGCUAGCGUUGUUCGGAAUUACUGGGCGUAAAGCGUGCGUAGACGGUUAUUUAAGUCAGGUGUGAAAGCCCCGGGCUCAACCUGGGAAUUGCAUUUGAGACUGAAUAGCUAGGGUGCGGAAGAGGGAAGCGGAAUUUCCGGUGUAGCGGUGAAAUGCGUAGAUAUCGGAAGGAACACCAGUGGCGAAAGCGGCUUCCUGGUCCAGCACCGACGUCAGGCACGAAAGCGUGGGGAGCAAACAGGA